rnacentral:rRNA from 1 species
UGCCCUUCGGGGAACCCGGUGACAGGUGCUGCAUGGCUGUCGUCAGCUCGUGUCGUGAGAUGUUGGGUUAAGUCCCGCAACGAGCGCAACCCUUGUCUUUAAUUGCCAUCAUUUAGUUGGGCACUUUAAAGAGACUGCCGGUGUUAAGCCGGAGGAAGGUGGGGAUGACGUCAAGUCCUCAUGGCCUUUAUGCCCAGGGCUACACACGUGCUACAAUGGGCGGUACAAAGAGAAGCAACCUCGCGAGGGUGAGCAAAUCUCAAAAAGCCGUUCUCAGUUCGGAUCGAAGUCUGCAACCCGACUUCGUGAAGUUGGAUUCGCUAGUAAUCGCGCAUCAGCCAUGGCGCGGUGAAUACGUUCCCGGGCCUU